rnacentral:misc_RNA from 1 species
AACCAUAGAAACCUGCGGAGUACCUGCGGAGGGAUCAUUACACAAUACAAUAUGAAGGCUGUCCGCAGCUGGAGUAUUUUAUUACCCUUGUCUUUUGCGCACUUGUUGUUUCCUGGGCGGGUUCGCUCGCCACCAGGACCACCAAAUAAACCUUCUUUAUGCAGUUGCAAUCAGCGUCAGUACAAACAAUGUAAAUCAUUUACAACUUUUAACAAUGGAUCUCAGAUCGGAAGAGCACAC